AAUCAACGCUGGCGGCAUGCCUAACACAUGCAAGUCGAACGAGAAAGUGGAGCAAUCCAUGAGUAAAGUGGCGCACGGGUGAGUAACACGUGACUAACCUACCUUCGAGUGGGGAAUAACUCCGGGAAACCGGGGCUAAGACCGCAUAAUAUCGAGAGAUCAAAUGCGAAAGCAGCUUGAAGAGGGGGUCGCGGUUGAUUAGCUAGUUGGUGGGGUAAUGGCCCACCAAGGCGAUGAUCAAUAGCCGGCCUGAGAGGGCGCACGGCCACACUGGAACUGAAACACGGUCCAGACUCCUACGGGAGGCAGCAGUGGGGAAUUUUGCGCAAUGGGGGAAACCCUGACGCAGCAAUGCCGCGUGGAGGAUGAAGUCCUUUGGGAUGUAAACUCCUUUCGAUCGGGAAGAUAAU
rnacentral:rRNA from 1 species